GACGAACGCUGGCGGCGUGCUUAACACAUGCAAGUCGAACGGAAAGGCCCUGCUUUUGCGGGGUGCUCGAUUGCCGAACGGGUGAGUAACACGUGAGUAACCUGCCCUUGACUUUGUGAUAACUUCAGGAAACUGGGGCUCAUACCGGAUAGGAGCUCCUGCUGCAUGGUGGGGGUUGGAAAGUUUCGGCGGUUGGGGAUGGACUCGCGGCUUAUCAGCUUGUUUGUCGGGUAGUGGCUUACCAAGGCUUUGACGGGUAGCCGGCAUGAGAGGGGUAACGGCCACAUUGCGACUGAGAUACGGACCAGAAUCGUACGGGAGGCAGCAGUGGGGAGUAUUGCAGAAUGGGCGGAAGCCUGAUGCAGCAACGCCGCGUGCGGGAUGACGGCCUUCGGGUGGUAAACCGCUUUCGCAUGUGACGAAGAGUGAGUGACGGUAAUGGGUAAAGAAGCACCGGCUAACUACGUG
rnacentral:rRNA from 1 species